UGAUUCCUACGGGGGGCAGCAGUGAGGAAUAUUGGUCAAUGGGCGGAAGCCUGAACCAGCCACGUCGCGUGAGGGAAUAAGGCCCUACGGGUCGUAAACCUCUUUUGCCGGAGAGCAAGGGCGGGGACGUGUCCCGGCCCGGAGAGUACCCGGAGAAAAAGCAUCGGCUAACUCCGUGCCAGCAGCCGCGGUAAUACGGAGGAUGCGAGCGUUAUCCGGAGUUAUUGGGUUUAAAGGGUGCGUAGGCGGGCUUUUAAGUCAGCGGUAAAAAUUCGGGGCUCAACCCCGUCCGGUCGUUGAAGCUG
rnacentral:rRNA from 1 species